rnacentral:rRNA from 1 species
GACGAACGCUGGCGGCGUGCCUAAUACAUGCAAGUUGAGCGAUGAAGAUUGGUGCUUGCACCAAUUUGAAGAGCAGCGAACGGGUGAGUAACGCGUGGGGAAUCUGCCUUUGAGCGGGGGACAACAUUUGGAAACGAAUGCUAAUACCGCAUAACAACUUUAAACAUAAGUUUUAAGUUUGAAAGAUGCAAUUGCAUCACUCAAAGAUGAUCCCGCGUUGUAUUAGCUAGUUGGUGAGGUAAAGGCUCACCAAGGCGAUGAUACAUAGCCGACCUGAGAGGGUGAUCGGCCACAUUGGGACUGAGACACGGCCCAAACUCCUACGGGAGGCAGCAGUAGGGAAUCUUCGGCAAUGGACGAAAGUCUGACCGAGCAACGCCGCGUGAGUGAAGAAGGGUUUCGGAUCGUAAAACUCUGUUGGUAGAGAAGAACGUUGGUGAGAGUGGAAAGCUCAUCAAGUGACGGUAACUACACAGAAAGGGACGGCUAACUACGUG